rnacentral:rRNA from 2 species
UCCACCGAAUGACUAAGGUUUCCUGGGGAAGGCUCGUCCUCCCAGGGUUAGUCGGGACCUAAGUCGAGGCCGAGAGGCGUAGACGAUGGAUAACAGGUUGAGAUUCCUGUACUAGUUAAGUGCGUUUGAGCAAUGGAGGGACGCAGGAGGCUAAGAUGUGCAUUCUGUUGGAUUAGAAUGUCCAAGCAGUAAGUCUUGUGAAGAGUCAAAUGCUUUUCACUUUAAGGACAAGCUGUGAUGGGGAGCGAAAUUUAGUAGCGAAGCGUCUGAUGUCACACUGCCGAGAAAAGCUUCUAGUGAGUACUUAACUACCCGUACCGCAAACCGACACAGGUAGUCGAGGAGAGAAUCCUAAGGUGAGCGAGUGAACUCUCGUUAAGGAACUCGGCAAAAUGACCCCG